rnacentral:rRNA from 1 species
UACGUAGGAGACGAGCGUUGUCCGGAGUUACUGGGCGUAAAGGGUGCGCAGGUGGCGGCGCGCGUGGGGGGUGAAAUCGCCCGGCUUAACUGGGCGGGGGCCUUCCAGACGGCGUGGCUUGAGCAGCGGAGGGGGACGUGGAAUUCCGGGUGGAGCGGUGAAAUGCGUAGAGAUCGGGAGGAACAUCAGUGGCGAAGGCGGCCAUCUGGGACAACACUGACGCUGAAGCACGAAAGCGUGGGGAGCAAACAGG